UUCUGAAUUUUUAUAUACUUGGUUAUCAUGUUGCUUUCAGAAGUGAGCUUUCCAGUUCACAAGUUAGGGUGCUCUACUUUGAAGGAAAUUAGCUUAUCAAAAGGACUUGCAAAAUGUCACUUUCAUGAUGAUGACACACUGAUAUCCAUAUCUGAAUGUUUGUACUUGUGGAAUUCUAGAAUCUCAUCUUACAUGUCCCUAAUCUUUUUUUUCUGCUUUGGCAUUAGUGAAUGUCUUUUAUAAUGUCCAAAUCCAAGUCAGUAGGAGGUACCAACAAAUGGCAAGAAUCAAUGAUUCUUCCUGUCGAUGUUGUGACUCCUUUGAAUAUGAGCAUCCACAUCUGCUAAUUUGUACCCCUAUCUAUUACUUAGGGAUGCCACAGGCAGUAAUCCGAAGGAAGAGGAAGCACCAUGGCACCUGGGGGCUUCGUGGAUUGGAGGGGAAAAGCCAUCAAUAAAGAGGUGCAUGGCGGAGUCAGAGCAGCGUGGUUUUUGUAUGUUCUGACUGUGGUAACCAACGUGGUUAUUGUCCCAAACCUGCUGAAUCUGGUCACUUACCUCCACAGAACAAUGCACAUGGGGGUCUCAGGCUCUGCAACUACAGCCACUAAUUUUAUUGGUGCCACAUCUGGCUUUGCACUGAUAGGAGCUUUCCUCUCGGACUCCAACAUUACUCGCUCUAGAACUAUGCUCCUCUUUGGUCCGUUUAUGUUUCUGGUAAUGUGCGUUUUAGUCUGUUCGGUUACCUACAUGAUUUCUGAUUUUCUAACACGAUCCAACGGAACUAUUCUUUUAUUCUUGCAUCUUUUCUCAUAAAAUUUAUUUUCUUAUAUUUAUCGCCAUUGUGAUGUGGUCUGACCAAAAUCAGGGAGAAGCGUUAUCUGCAGUGAAGAAGUAAUUUCCCAAAGUUGAGAUGUAUGGGUGUACAAAAUCAUAUGGUGUAAGGGGAUACGGAUUGCUAGCACUGCAAGCCUACCUUCCCUCGCUCCACCCACCACCUUGCAACAGUGAAGCAGAGGUAAACAACUGCAAAGAGGUCCAUGGCUGGAAUGCUACCUUUACUGUACACAGCCUUGUAUAUGAGCGCACUUGGUGAUGGUUCUAUGAGUGCUUGCUUGCCAUCCCUCGGAGCUGACCAAUUUGACCACGAAGAUCCCUCCGAGUCCUGUCAACAGUCUAGCUUCUUUAAUUGGUAUACCUUCGGAAUCUCCUUUGGAGGUUUUGUAGGGCCGAUUCUCAUAGUAUGGCUUGAAAAUUACAAAGGGUGGGAUAUCGGACUUGGGGUGUGUGCCAUCCUAAUUCUGCUCGGAUUGCUCAUAGUUGCUGCUGGUCUCCCUUUCUACCGCAACCAAGUACCAGAAGGAAGUCCUCUAACUCGAAUACUGCAGGUUGUGCUUCAUAUUCCUGUCUUAAAACACAAUGUGCCAUCACAAUUUUCAGGGAAUGUGUUAGAUCAAAUACC